rnacentral:rRNA from 1 species
UAAUGCUUAGGAAUCUACCGAGUAGUGGGGGAUAGCCAUUGGAAACGAUGAUUAAUACCGCAUAUAUCCUACGGGGGAAAGCAGGGGACCUUCCGGGCCUUGCGCUAUUCGAUGAGCCUGAGUGAGAUUAGCUAGUUGGUGGGGUAAAGGCCUACCAAGGCGACGAUCUCUAGCUGGUCUGAGAGGAUGAUCAGCCACACUGGGACUGAGACACGGCCCAGACUCCUACGGGAGGCAGCAGUGGGGAAUAUUGCACAAUGGGCGAAAGCCUGAUAUGCAGCCAUGUCGCGUGUGUGAAGAAGGCCUUCGGGUUGUAAAGCACUUUCAGCGAGGAGGAAAGGUCAGUAAGUAAUAUUUGCUGGCUGUGACGUUACUCGCAGAAGAAGCACCGGCUAAUUUAGUGCCAGCAGCCGCGGUAAUACUAAAGGUGCAAGCGUUAAUCGGAAUUACUGGGCGUAAAGCGCGCGUAGGUGGUUUGUUAAGUUGGAUGUGAAAGCCCAGGGCUCAACCUUGGAACUGCAUUCAAAACUGACUCACUAGAGUACGAGAGAGGUUAGUGGAAUUUCCUGUGUAGCGGUGAAAUGCAUAGAUAUGUCAUGGAACACCAAUAGUGAAGACAGCUCACUAAGCCAAUAUUGACACUGAUGAACGAAAGCAUGGGUAGCGAACAGGAUUAGAUACCCUGGUAGUCCACGCCGUAAACGAUGUCUACUAGCCGUUGGGGAACUUGAUUCCUUAGUGGCGCAGCUAACGCGAUAAGUAGACCGCCU